UGAUAAAUAUUUUUGUGGCUGUUGUAGGAUUUCAUCAUCUGCAUCGAAAUGUUCCUUGUGGCCAUUGCCCAUGUACAUUGCCAUGUAUUCUCCUACAAACCCUACGUGCAAGAGGCAGAGGAAGGCUCUUGCUUUGGCUGUUUCCUGGCCAUGUGGCAUGUGUCAGAUGUCAGAGAUGAUUAUUUCUCAACAAGUAAGAUGCCUGGGUGGGUCGCCCCCGUUGACACCCCGCUGGCCGGGGCAUCAGGCCUUUGGACACUCGAUUACUUUACAGAAUGCAGCCGCUGCAUCCAAGUCAUGUGAAGACAUUGUCACUGAUAUCCCAGAAGAACAGGAACCUCCUGAUACAGGCCAACAUCAAGACUUAGAAGACACAGAUACUUCACAGGAUGCACUUUCUGAGGCCAAGCUGUGUGAAGAUGUAAUGAUUAAUAUCCCAGAAGAGCAGAAGGAGCCCCCUAAUAAAUUUAUAUAUUAUCUUAAAGGGAGAACAAUGAAAUGUUAUCCAGAAAAAAAAAAAAAAAAAAAAGUUUUCCUGAAGACUCGGAACAUUCUGAACACACAAGUUGGCUUUCCUGAUCAUCACAAGAUGUAGUAUCUGCAGGUUCAAAGCCAUCCUCACUUGCCCCAGGACUAGGAUGCAGCCCAUACCUGCGAGGAGCCUCAACCACAGCGCGACCCGAGGACGCAGCGCCAGCAGCUGGUCAUUUUUCUCUGUAGAGAGCCAGAAGAGAAAACAAUCAAAGAAGAGAAAGUGCCAAAAUCUCGGUUUGGUUUGUUUUCUUGGCUUUCGUAAGCUAAUUUGUUUAUGAAAAUGCCCAGCGUGUGUAAUCUGAGCAACUGGAGGCGAUGGAUCCGACCCCUGGUCAUACUUACUUAUGUAGUAGCUUGCUGAUCUUUGUUACCUUGUGUGUUUGGAAGUUUGACCAAAAAGAAAAAGGGUAUGUGAGACGGUUGGUGUCUACGAUGAAGGGAAAUUUGGUUUCUCCAGUGCAAGGACUUACUUGGUUAUAAGAAAUUAUUUGUCACAACUAGUAAGUAAAUCUUCAUUCUUCUUAAUUGUACUAAAUUUGUUUCUGUUGCUAAAUAUUAUCAGAUACUAUUUCUUGAGAAAAAAAUUACCUUUUACUUUGUACAUGGAACUUGAAACAGCUUUAAUGUAUACCUUUAUACAAUAUAGAAGUACAGUAAUAUGUUCAUGAAUGAUUUGGUGACUUACAUGCAGAGCUGUUUGCUCUUGUGACCACACAGCCUUGUGGGGAUAAGCAUGGUGUGCCUUCUAAACAAACAAAACAUAAUGCAAUCGGCCGA